GUGGUGACCCAGAGCUCCAGGGGACAAACCCUGUGAGCGGGCAGGACAUGGCAUAUGGCGGCGCCCAGGUCGUCAGGAAGCAGGUUGUUUCACCUCCAACUUCCGUUUCACGGACCCUCAGAACCAGCCCACCUCAUGAACACACCUGGCUGUACUUCCCAUCCUUCACAUCCUUCUGUCUAUUCAAGAACCAGUCUGGGAUCUUGUAUUGGCGUGGAUUCUGCAUAAUGGUGAUCACACGUUCCACCUGGCAGGCAAGACAAGGUCAGGUCCACAUGGUCUUUUCUGAGACAGGCCCAAGCAGCCCCUCAUUCUCAUCCUCACCUCAUCUUCAGUGAGUUCUCCAGCCCUCUUGGUGAGGUCAAUGUCUGCUUUCCUCAACACCACAUGAGCAUACCUUCGUCCCACGCCCUAAGAUGAAAGGUUUUGGAAUUA